rnacentral:rRNA from 1 species
GCGCACCAGUCGCGAAUCCUCCGCAAUACACGAAAGUGUGACGGGGCCAUCCCGAGUGCCGUCCGCUGAGGACGGCUUUUCCCAGUGUACACAGCUGGGGGAAUAAGGAGAGGGCAAGCCUGGUGUCAGCCGCCGCGGUAAUACCAGCUCUCCGAGUGGUGGGGACGCUUAUUGGGCCUAAAGCAUCCGUAGCCGGCUGGGCAAGUCCUCCGUUAAAUCCAACGAUUCAAUCGUUGGGCUGCGGGGGAUACUGUCCAGCUUGGGGGCGGGAGAGGGCCGACGGUA